ACGGAUAUCUUGGCUCUUGCAACGAUGAAGAACGCAGCGAAAUGCGAUACCUAGUGUGAAUUGCAGAAUUCCGCGAAUCAUCGAGUUUUUGAACGCAAGUUGCGCCCGAGGCUCGUUCCGAGGGCAUGCCUGCCUGAGCGUCCGCUCUGACCCACCCACUAACCUUCCUCCUCCUCCUCCUCCUCCCUCGGGAGGGGGGAGAGAGAGAGAGGGAGGUCGGAGUGCGCGUGGAAUUGGCCGUCCGGGAACCCGUCCGUCCUCUCCAGUGGUGGGCGGCCGAAGGAUUUGCGGUCGGCUGAAAAAAAACGGGAACCGUCCGUCGAGCGCGCACAGGGGGAAAGGAUGCGUCGCGAAAAGGUGCCGUCCUCUCUAACAUCGCCGUCCUCGGCUAGAGACGGGCGUUGGUAACACGGAAGCGUCGUGCCUCUCCUGUGGAGUUCGAUACUCGGCGGAUCGGUGGGUGAUCAAAAUGGGAACGGAAUGACUCCCGACAUCUUUCCCCGGCGUCUCGCCUUUCCGAGCGAGUGAUCGGGGAGCUGCGCGAGUCUGCACGUGACGAUGUUCGGACCUCAGAUCAGGCAAGACCACCCGCUGAGUUUAAGCAUAUCACUAAGCGGAGGAAAAGAAACUAACAAGGAUUUCCCUAGUAACGGCGAGCGAACCGGAAGUAGCCC
rnacentral:rRNA from 1 species